GUAGGUGGCAAGCGUUGUCCGGAAUUAUGGGCGUAAAGCGCGCGCAGGUGGGUUCUUUAAGUCUGAUGUGAAAGCCCCCGGGCUCAACCGGGGAGGGUCAUUGGAAACUGGGGAACUUGAGUGCAGGAGAGGAAAGUGGAAUUCCACGAGUAGCGGUGAAAUGCGUAGAUAUGUGGAGGAACACCAGUGGCGAAGGCGACUUUCUGGCCUGUAACUGACACUGAGGCGCGAAAGCGUGGGGAGCAAACAGGAUUAGAUACCCUGGUAGUCCACGCCGUAAACGAUGAGUGCUAAGUGUUGGGGGGUUUCCGCCCCUCAGUGCUGCAGCUAACGCAUUAAGCACUCCGCCUGGGGAGUACGGUCGCAAGACUG
rnacentral:rRNA from 1 species